rnacentral:rRNA from 1 species
CAGCCGCCACGGUAAUACGAGGGGGGCAAGCGUUGUUCGGAAUUAUUGGGCGUAAAGGGUGCGUAGGCGGCUUGACAAGUCUUGUGUGAAAUCUAUGGGCUCAACCCAUAGUCUGCACGGGAAACUGUCGGGCUUGAGAAUGGGAGAGGUGAGUGGAAUUUCCGGUGUAGCGGUGAAAUGCGUAGAUAUCGGAAGGAACACCUGUGGCGAAAGCGGCUCACUGGACCAUUUCUGACGCUGAUGCACGAAAGCUAGGGGAGCAAACAGGAUUAGAUACCCCGGUAGUCCCUGUCUCUUAUAC